AUGUCUAAUGUUUUUUCGCCUGGGGAAUUAAUCGGACUAUUGCGAGCGGAACGAGUAGGACGAGCUUUGGAUGAAUCAAUCUAUUAUCGGGCAAUCUUAUUGGGAAUAACAAGGGCUUCCCUGAAUACCCAAAGUUUCAUAUCUGAAGCAAGUUUUCAAGAAACUGCUCGAGUUUUAGCAAAAGCUGCCCUAUGA
rnacentral:rRNA from 1 species